rnacentral:lncRNA from 1 species
CCGAGGGCUCUCAUCUGUCUUGAAAACUUCACAUAUAACUCGAGAAAUAGUAAUCCACUAUCUAUAUGUGUCUGCACCAUCACCUCCAACCCCCUCGCACCUCUAAUAUCGAAAGCAUUAUAUCUGAAGGGGUCGACCGAAGCACAAAAUUGAUAUUUAAGUGACGGUACUUUCAUCUGGUUGGACCCGAUGAUUUUUUGCCUAAUUCUUUGACAUAGUUCUGAAAAUGUUAUAUCCAGGUUAAAAGCUAACCGUAUUGUGUUCUUUGAUAAGAAACGAUCUCAUUCUCAGUGUCACGCACUUCACUUCAUAAUAAACAAUAGCAUUAAUUUGUCC